rnacentral:rRNA from 1 species
AGCAGCCGCGGUAAUUCCAGCUCCAAUAGCGUAUAUUAAAGUUGUUGCAGUUAAAAAGCUCGUAGUUGAAUUUCGGGAUUCUACCGUCGGUCGGGCUACCAAGUCUGUACUGGUGUGUAGAAUUCCUACCUUCUGGGGAACCAUCAUGUUAUUAAUUUAGCGUGGUGGGAAACCAGGACCUUUACCUUGAAAAAUUAGAGUGUUCAAAGCAGGCUUAUGUCUGAAUACAUUAGCAUGGAAUAAUAGAAUAGGACGGUGGUCCUGUUUUGUUGGUUUCUGAAUCACCGUAAUGAUUAAUAGGGAUAGUUGGGGGCAUUAGUAUUCAAUUGUCAGAGGUGAAAUUCUUGGAUUUAUUGAAGACUAACUUCUGCGAAAGCAUUUGCCAAGGAUGUUUUCAUUAAUCAAGAACGAAAGUUAGGGGAUCGAAGACGAUCAGAUACCGUCGUAGUCUUAACCAUAAACUAUGCCGACUAGGGAUCGGACGAUGUUAAAUUUUAUUGACUCGUUCGGCGCCUUACGG